rnacentral:rRNA from 1 species
GACGAACGCUGGCGGCGUGCUUAACACAUGCAAGUCGAGCGGUAAGGCCCUUUCGGGGGUACACGAGCGGCGAACGGGUGAGUAACACGUGGGUGACCUGCCCUCAGCUCUGGGAUAAGCCUGGGAAACCGGGUCUAAUACUGGAUAUGACUCCAUGACGCAUGUUGUGGGGUGGAAAGCCUUGUGCGGCUGAGGAUGGGCCCNCGGCCUAUCAGCUUGUUGGUGGGGUGANGGCCUACCAAGGCGACGACGGGUAGCCGGCCUGAGAGGGCGACCGGCCACACUGGGACUGAGACACGGCCCAGACUCCUACGGGAGGCAGCAGUGGGGAAUCUUGCGCAAUGGGCGAAAGCCUGACGCAGCGACGCCGCGUGAGGGAUGACGGCCU